GAUGAAGAACGUAGCGAAAUGCGAUAAGUAAUGUGAAUUGCAGAAUUCCGUGAAUCAUCGAAUCUUUGAACGCACAUUGCGCCCUCUGGUAUUCCGGGGGGCAUGCCUGUCCGAGCGUCAUUUGCAACCCUCAAGCCCGGCUUGUGUGAUGGGUGCCGUCCCCUACGGGACGCGCCCCGAAGGCAAUGGCGGCGUCGCGGUUAUCCGAUCAGCCAAAGUGUAUGGGGCUUUGUCACUCACUUUACGGCCCGGACCGGCGCCAGUCCGAAUCAAUCUUUUUUCUAAAGUUGACCUCGGAUCAGGUAGGGAUACCCGCUGAACUUAAGCAUAUCAAUAAGCGGAGGAA
rnacentral:misc_RNA from 1 species